rnacentral:misc_RNA from 1 species
UCCUAGUUCACCUAGGCAGUCUCGUUAGAGUUCCCGGCCGAACCGCUGGCAACUAACGAUAAGGGUUGCGCUCGUUGCGGGACUUAACCCAACACCUCACGGCACGAGCUGACGACAGCCAUGCAGCACCUAUAUAGAGGCCCUUUCGGGAGAAUAUAUUUCUACAUUCGCCCUCUACAUUUCGAGCCUGGGUAAGGUUCUUCGCGUUGCAUCGAAUUAAACCACAUGCUCCACUGCUUGUGCGGGCCCCCGUCAAUUCUUUUGAGUUUCACCCUUGCGGGCGUACUUCCCAGGCGGUAUACUUAUCACGUUAGCUACGACACAUCAGGGGUUGAGUCCUAAUACAUCUAGUAUACAUCGUUUACGGCGUGGACUAC